UACGGGGGGGGCAAGCGUUGUUCGGAAUUACUGGGCGUAAAGCGCACGUAGGCGGUUUCUUAAGUCGGGGGUGAAAUCCUGGAGCUCAACUCCAGAACUGCCUUCGAUACUGGGAAACUUGAGUCCGGGAGAGGUGAGUGGAACUGCGAGUGUAGAGGUGAAAUUCGUAGAUAUUCGCAAGAACACCAGUGGCGAAGGCGGCUCACUGGCCCGGUACUGACGCUGAGGUGCGAAAGCGUGGGGAGCAAACAGG
rnacentral:rRNA from 1 species